CCUACGGGAGGCAGCAGUGAGGAAUAUUGGUCAAUGGACGCAAGUCUGAACCAGCCAUGCCGCGUGCAGGAAGACGGCUCUAUGAGUUGUAAACUGCUUUUGUACGAGGGUAAACGCAGAUACGCGUAUCUGUCGGAAAGUAUCGUACGAAUAAGGAUCGGCUAACUCCGUGCCCGCCGCCGCGGGUAUACGGAGGAUUCAAGCGUUAUCCGGAUUUAUUGGGUUUAAAGGGUGCGUAGGCGGUCGGAUAAGUUAGAGGUGAAAUCCCGAGGCUCAACUUCGGAAUUGCCUCUGAUACUGGUCGGCUAGAGAGUAGGUGAGGUAGGCGGAAUGCAUGGUGUAGCGGUGAAAUGCUUAGAGAUCAUACAGAACACCGAUUGCGAAGGCAGCUUACCAAGCUACUUCUGACGUUGAGGCACGAAAGCGUGGGGAGCAAACAGGAUUAGAUACCCUAGUAGUC
rnacentral:rRNA from 1 species